rnacentral:rRNA from 1 species
UUUAUUGGAGAGUUUGAUCCUGGCUCAGGACGAACGCUGGCGGCGUGCCUAAUACAUGCAAGUCGAGCGAGUCUCUUCGGAGGCUAGCGGC